rnacentral:rRNA from 1 species
AUUGAACGCUGGCGGCAGGCCUAACCCAUGCAAGUCGAACGAGUGGCGCACGGGUGAGUAAUGUCUGGGCAACUGCCUGAUGGAGGGGGAUAACUACUGGAAACGGUAGCUAAUACCGCAUACCAUCGGAUGUGCCCAGAUGGGAUGAGCUAGGCGGUGGUGGAACGGCUCACCCAGGCGACGAUCCCUAGCUGGUCUGAGAGGAUGCACAGCCACACUGGACAUGAGACACGGUCCAGGCUCCUACGGGAGGCAGCAGUGGGGAAUAUUGCACAAUGGGCGCAAGCCUGAUGCAGCCAUGCCGCGUGUGUGAAGAAGGCGUUCGGGUGGGAUAGUACUUUCAGCGGGGGGGCGUUACCCGCAGAAGAAGCGCCGGCUCACUCCGUGCCAGCAGCCGCGGUAAUAC